AUCAGGCAACACGAAGGUAGCAAGUUUCCUAUCGCUGGUGGUAUUUAAGCAAGCAGAGGGAAUCCCAGCGUGAAAUGGGGUGAGGCUGGACGAGAUGCCUUUUGAUGUCUUUCCCAGCAACCUAAGUCUCUACCUCAAUCAGUAUAUCCUCUCAGCUCCCAUCACACCUCUUAUAUGUUCCACGUUCUUCUGCAAGUCUGGCUCCAAGACUGAUAACACUAGGAGGUCAUCACGCAAAUUCCCGGGCUGCCUCUAGGGGACGGUCUUUCGCUGAUUCACCUCUGCCACCAGGACUCCGGGUUUACCUUCAGCCUGCUCAUCUGUAAAGCGAGACGGCAACAGAAUCUGAUGUGUGGAAAGGCUUCCUCCAGACCCAGAUCGUGGUGUACUGCUAUUUCCCCCAGUCUUCAAAGAAGGAAAACCGAGGCUCAGAGAGCAACUUGCUCAAGGUCACCCAGCUGGAUAUUGAAUCUACGAGGGUGAGUCAAAACUUAUCUGCACUCUGGUUAUAUUAAAACUUCUGUUGGCCGCACCGUCUUGUCAGCACUUUCAGUUCAAGGCUACUGUCUCCUCAGUCACUGCUGUGCAGGUGUGAAUGUGUUACAUCAGUUCAUUUGUGACUGUGGUGAUGCCCCAUUUGUGAUUUGCACAAAAGAAGAGCAGCGGGCAGUGAUUCGUUUUUUGUGGUCUGAGGAUGUACCUGGUGCCGUUAUUUAUCGAAGACUUUGUGUGCAGUAUGGAGAAAGUGUUUUGUCACGAAGAAGUGUUUGAAUGGAUAGAGAUGCUUAUUGAAGAGCUGAAGCCUAAACUUUGGAUUAAAGGCAGAGGACUGAUAUCCAAGGGUGCUGUGCUCUUGCAUGACAAUACACGUCCGCACACUUCUGCCCACACCGUCGACACUCUGCAGAAACUUCAUUUUGGGUUGUUAAAGCGUCCUCCCUAUAGUCUUGAUCUUGCUCCAUCAGACUUUCACCUGUUUGGUCCCCUGAAAGCAGCCCUACGACGACAAAGAUUCACUUCCGAUGAAGAAGUGAAGACAGCGGUGCAUUCAUGGCUUGCAGCUCAGCCUAAAACAUUUUUUAGUGAGGGAAUAGGAAAGCUUGUUGACAGAUGGACAAAGUGUAUUGAAAAGCAAGGAGAUUGUCGAAAAUGUUGUAUUUGUCUUUUCUAAAAGUUAAUUAAAAUAAA